rnacentral:rRNA from 1 species
AGAAUAUUCGAGCAGAAUCGAGUUGUUUUGAAAGGUAGUAAGGUUUGUUAGAAUUUAUUAUUGGAAAAAUAUUUUUUUGAUUUAGUAAGAGAUAGAAAAAUUUUAAAUACACUAUAGAAGAUAAGUACUGUGAGGGAAAGUUUGAAAUAUUGUUAAAGUAAGUAGGAUUAAAGUAAGAAUAAAAUUUUGUACCUUGUGUAUUAGGGGUAUUUUAUUUAAAUAAAUUAUUAUUGAUUAUCCCGAAAGAGAGAUAGUUAAAUUAGAGAAGAUUGUUUUUGUGGUAAAAAAAUUUGAAAUUUUAGUUUAGGAGUGAAAUAUUAGGCGAGCUUUCUGAUAUCUGGUUCUUUUGUAAAUAAAUUUAAUUUAGCUUUUAUAUAGAUAAGGAUUGUAAGAGGAAGGAGCAGAAGGGGAGAGCUUUUUGUUUAAGUUUUAGGGAUUUAGAGAAGAAUAGAAAGUAAGAAAGAUUGGACUAGGCUUAGAAGUAGUUUUGUUUGGAGAGUGUUAUAACUAAAAUUUGAAGCUAUUAAGUGUUGUUCUUUUUAGAUAUAUAUAGAAGAGUAUUUGGAAUUAGAUUUGGAGUAUUUAAAAUUGAUAUAUUAGUAAAUAUUAUAUUAUAUAAAAAAUAAAUUGUAGAGUUAUAACAAGGUUUAGUUAUAGUUAAGUUUAUGUAAAGGAAUUCGGCAAAAUUUAUUUCCGCCUGUUUAUCAAAAACAUCUCUGUAUGAGAGAUUUAUAGAGUCUAGCCUGCCCGUUGAAGAUUUGAAAGGCCGCGGUAUUUUGACCGUGCGAAGGUAGCAUAAUCAUUAGUCUUUUAAUUGAAGGCUUGUAUGAAGGGUUGGACGAGAAAUGAGCUGUCUUUAUUGAAAAAAUAGAAUUUAACUUUUAAGUGAGAGGGCUUAGAUACUCUAAAGGGACGAUAAGACCCUAUAAAGUUUGACAUUUUAUUCAUUAAAAAAUAAGAUAAGUAGGUAAUUUUUAUUAGUGAGAUAGUGUUUUGUUGGGGCGAUUAGAAUAUAAAAAAUUUAACUGUUUUAUAUUAAUACAAAAAUGUUUGAGUUUUUGAUUCUUAAUAAAGAUAUCAGAGCAAAUUACUUUAGGGAUAACAGCGUAAUUUUUUUUGAGAGUUCUUAUCUACAAAAAAGUUUGCGACCUCGAUGUUGAAUUAAAGAAUUCUUUAUAGCGCAGAAGUUAUAAAAGAAGGUCUGUUCGACCUUUAAACCUUUACAUGAUUUGAGUUCAGACCGGCGUGAGCCAGGUUGGUUUCUAUCUUUUAGAAUUUUAAGUGGAUUAUUUUAGUACGAAAGGAUUAAAUAAUCAAAAUAUUUUUGUUUAAUGAUACGAGUUUUGGGUCAGAGAAAAAAGAGAGCUUUUAACUUUAAUAUCCAAAAUUA